AGAUUCGAGCUUUCUUGGGCGCUUUCUCUAUCACUGUGUUAUGUCUUCUCCUCUUCUACCACAGCAUUUUAAAAGGAUCAAGGCCAACAGUCAAAGCAGUUUGGAAUGCAAAUAAGACUUUGGUUGAAACGAAAGAACUGCUACAGGACUCUGCUAGCAUCAAUCACAGUUUGAGGAUGGAAAU